UACGAAGGGGGCUAGCGUUGCUCGGAAUUACUGGGCGUAAAGCGCACGUAGGCGGAUUCUUAAGUCGGUGGUGAAAUCCUGGAGCUCAACUCCAGAACUGCCUUCGAUACUGGGAAUCUUGAGUUCGGGAGAGGUGAGUGGAACUGCGAGUGUAGAGGUGAAAUUCGUAGAUAUUCGGAAGAACACCAGUGGCGAAGGCGGCUCACUGGUCCGGUACUGACGCUGAGGUGCGAAAGCGUGGGGAGCAAACAGG
rnacentral:rRNA from 1 species